AUCUUAUUUGCGUACAACUUCGAAGUUGACUUUCCCGAUAGAAGAGAAUGGAAGUCUUUUACUAUUCUAAGCAAUGGCGAAAUUUCAAUAUUGAUUACGGUCUAGUAAUUGGCGUCGCGGUAAAGUUUGUAAGCAUGAUUAAACUUGCUUCUUCAAAACUCAUGUGGCUUUAGGAGACAAGCCACGAUGAAGACCCUUAGGUCGACAACGACUUACUCGAUUAUGUGUCUGGAAAUGUCGAAGUUGCCUUAGGUAACACACAAACAAACUAUACUGGGAUGCUAACAGCAGGUAGACCAAUCUGGACACAUGCGGAGAGAGAGCGAUAACAAAGGACACGGAAUUUACUGAAUCUUUGGAAACAGAACAUAAAGCUUGGCUACAUUAAAUUUUCAUUUCUUUACAUAUAAUAUAGUAUAUACUUAUAUAUGUAUGUAUAUUAUAUAAAUAAAAUAAUAAAUUAGGUCAACUUGUUUGCGAUUUUUACCCAAAUACAUUUUACAACAACGAGAAAUGUUAAAAACAAACUAUACAAACCAACACUAUUCGGAAGUCGUAGAUAACGAUGACGAAUACGACGCCGACGACACACUUCAAAUAGGCAAUAAAACAAAAUAAA